rnacentral:rRNA from 1 species
AGAGUUUGAUCCUGGCUCAGAUUGAACGCUGGCGGAAUGCUUUACACAUGCAAGUCGAACGGCAGCACGGGAGCUUGCUCCUGGUGGCGAGUGGCGAACGGGUGAGUAAUGUAUCGGAACGUACCCCGUCGUGGGGGAUAACUCUCCGAAAGGAGAGCUAAUACCGCAUACGACCCGAGGGUGAAAGCGGGGGACCUGGGGUAACCUGGGCCUCGCGCGAUGGGAGCGGCCGAUAUCGGAUUAGCUAGUUGGUGGGGUAAAGGCCUACCAAGGCGACGAUCCGUAGCGGGUCUGAGAGGACGACCCGCCACACUGGAACUGAGACACGGUCCAGACUCCUACGGGAGGCAGCAGUGGGGAAUUUUGGACAAUGGGCGCAAGCCUGAUCCAGCCAUUCCGCGUGAGUGAAGAAGGCCUUCGGG